UGACAACACAACAGUUUAGUCAAGUUACGUUAACGCUACAGUGAACAUCGGUGGGAUUAGCUCCGGUGCUGCCCAUUGUUUUCAAUGGAACAUUGGCGAAACCAAGACACAAUGUUUGCUGUACUGGUGUGAAAGGCCCUCAAGAUCGUACAUCCCCGAUUCACCUAUUGCUGCUUUUCAAGACAAUAAGGCUUGAGAUCUGUCAAGAUUUGUCUCUCUGGGAUCCAAGACCAUGAAAUAAAGUGUCAGCGUCAGAGGUCACAGACUUGAGGUCCGGGCAGAAGUUGAGCAUGACCACGGGGCUGUGGAGGAGGUCUUUGUGAAGACGCUUGCGGAUGAUCUCCACCUGUUGGUCACCAGAGCACAGCAGAGAAACUUCAGGAGACCUGAUUUUGCAAUCCUGCCAGGAAACAAGAGCAUUUCCAAUAAAC